ACAGAUAUUUUGGGAUGUCAUCAGCUGCCACUGAGGAACAGCCAUCUACCUCCACUGCUCAUACCAGUAGGCCAGUAUUUGAACUUGAGGAGGGACAGUCUGCUGGCACCACAUCUCCCCAGGAAGAUACUUUAGAGAGACCUACCAGUAUAUGUGAACUUGAUGAGGGACAGCCAGCUGCCACGUCUCCCCAACAAGAUAUGUCAGAGAAGCCUGAACGAUCAACCAAUGAGUCCCA